AUUGAACGCUGGCGGCAGGCUUAACACAUGCAAGUCGAGCGGUAACAGAGAGAAGCUUGCUUCUCUGCUGACGAGCGGCGGACGGGUGAGUAAUGCCUAGGAAUCUGCCUAGUAGUGGGGGAUAACUUGCCGAAAGGUAAGCUAAUACCGCAUACGUCCUACGGGAGAAAGGAGGGGACCUUCGGGCCUUUCGCUAUUAGAUGAGCCUAGGUCGGAUUAGUUAGUUGGUGAGGUAAUGGCUCACCAAGACCGCGAUCCGUAACUGGUCUGAGAGGAUGAUCAGUCACACUGGAACUGAGACACGGUCAAGAAUCAUACGGGAGGCAGCAGUGGGGAAUAUUGGACAAUGGGGGGAACCCUGAUCCAGCCAUGCCGCGUGUGUGAAGAAGGUCUUAGGAUUGUAAAGCACUUUAAGUUGGGAGGAAGAGCAGUUAACUAAUAUUUGACUGUUUUGACGUUACCGACAGAAUAAGCACCGGCUAACUUCGUGCCAGCCGCCGCCGUAA
rnacentral:rRNA from 1 species